GUCAACCUGGAUGGCUCAGUUGGUUAGAGCGUGGUGCUGAUAACACCAAAGGUACCAGUUUGAUCCCUGUAUGGGACA